rnacentral:rRNA from 1 species
UGGGGGAUAUUGCACAAUGGGCGAAAGCCUGAUGCAGCGACGCCGCGUGGGGGAUGAAGGCCUUCGGGUUGUAAACUUCUUUUGCUCUGAACAAGGCGCACCAUGGGGUGUGUUGAGUGUAGGGGUUGAUUAGCGCCGGCUAACUACGUGCCAGCAGCCGCGGUAAUACGUAGGGCGCGAGCGUUGUCCGGAAUUAUUGGGCGUAAAGGGCUUGUAGGUGGCUGGUUGCGUCUGUCGUGAAAGCUCAUGGCUUAACUGUGGGUUUGCGGUGGGUACGGGCUGGCUUGAGUGCAGUAGGGGAGGCUGGAAUUCCUGGUGUAGCGGUGGAAUGCGCAGAUGUCAGGAGGAAGACCGGUGGCGAAGGCGGGUCUCUGGGCUGUUACUGACACUGAGGAGCGAAAGCAUGGGGAGCGAACAGG